rnacentral:rRNA from 1 species
AUUGAACGCUGGCGGCGUGCCUAAUACAUGCAAGUCGAGCGAACCACUUCGGUGGUGAGCGGCGAACGGGUGAGUAACACGUAGGUGAUCUGCCCAUCAGACGGGGACAACGAUUGGAAACGAUCGCUAAUACCGGAUAGGACGAAAGUUUAAAGGUGCUUCUGGCACCGCUGAUGGAUGAGCCUGCGGCGCAUUAGCUAGUUGGUAGGGUAAAGGCCUACCAAGGCGACGAUGCGUAGCCGACCUGAGAGGGUGAACGGCCACACUUGUACUGAGACAAGGCCCAGACUCCGACGGGAGGCAGUAGUAAGGAAUCUUCUGCAAUGGUCGAAAGCCUGACCGAGCAACGCCGCGUGAAUGAUGAAGGUCUUCGGGUUGUAAAAUUCUGUUAUAAGCGAAGAACGACUUUAGUAGGAAAUGGCUAGAGUGUGACGGUACCUUAUGAGAAAGCCACGGCUAACUACGUGCCAGCCGCCGCCGUAACAC